UACGUAGGUGGCGAGCGUUGUCCGGAUUUACUGGGCGUAAAGGGAGCGCAGACGGAACUGCAAGUCUGAUGUGAAAGCCCGGGGCUCAACCGCGGGACUGCAUCGGAUACUGUGGAUCUGGAGUGCCGGAGGGGCAAGCGGAAUUCCUGGUGUAGCGGUGAAAUGCGUAGAUAUCAGGAGGAACACCGGCGGCGAAGGCGGCUUGCUGGACGGCAACUGACGUUGAGGCUCGAAAGCGUGGGGAGCAAACAGGAUUAGAUACCCCGGUA
rnacentral:rRNA from 1 species